rnacentral:rRNA from 1 species
CCUACGGGCGGCAGCAGUAGGGAAUUUUCCACAAUGGGCGAAAGUCUGAUGGAGCAACGCCGCGUGGGUGAAGAAGGUCUUCGGAUCGUAAAACCCUGUUGUUAGAGAAGAAAGUGCGUGAGAGUAACUGUUCACGUUUCGACGGUAUCUAACCAGAAAGCCACGGCUAACUACGUGCCAGCAGCCGCGGUAAUACGUAGGUGGCAAGCGUUAUGCGGUUUUAUUGGGCGUAAAGGGAACGCGAGCGGGCUUUUAAGUCUGAUGGGAAAGCCUUCGGCUUAACCGGAGUAGUGCAUUGGAAACUGGGAGACUUGAGUGCAGAAGAGGAGAGUGGAACUCCAUGUGUAGCGGUGAAAUGCGUAGAUAUAUGGAAGAACACCAGUGGCGAAAGCGGCUCUCUGGUCUGUAACUGACGCUGAGGUUCGAAAGCGUGGGUAGCAAACAGGAUUAGAUACCCGGGUAGUC